AUGUAGAUAAGGGAAGUCGGCAAAAUAGAUCUGUAACUUCGGGAAAAAGAUUGGCUCUAAGGGUUGGGGGUGCUCACUCAUCUUCUCCCCGCCCCCCCCCCUCCGCGCCCCCGGGGCCGGCGGGCGCCUCACGGCGUCUGCUGCCCCGGCGGGUCGGGGGGCGGUCAUUCCAAGGGGGUGGGGAGCAAGAAGGCACGGGGGCCUCCGCAGCCGCGUGCGGCGGGGGCCCUUCGGACACGGGGCCCGGGCGCCUCCCUCACGGGGGGUGGCCCGGGCCACCGGCCGCUUAUAACAACCAACUUAGAACUGGUACGGACAAGGGGAAUCCGACUGUCUAAUUAAAACAUAGCAUUGCGAUGGCCGUAAGUCGGUGUUGACGCAAUGUGAUUUCUGCCCAGUGCUCUGAA
rnacentral:rRNA from 1 species